CCUACGGGUGGCAGCAGUGAGGAAUAUUGGUCAAUGGGCGCGAGCCUGAACCAGCCAAGUCGCGUGAGGGAGGACGGCCCUACGGGUUGUAAACCUCUUUUGCCGGGGAGCAACGGGCGCCACGUGUGGCGUCACUGAGAGUACCCGGAGAAAAAGCAUCGGCAAACUCCGUGCCAGCAGCCGCGGUAUUACGGGGGAUGCGAGGGUUAGCCGGAUUUAUUGGGUUUAAGGGGGGCGUUGGCGGAUCGUUAAGUAAGUGGGAAAAUUGGGGGGCCAAACCCCUUCCCGCCAUUGAAACUGGCGUUCUUGAGUGGAAGAGAGGUAUGCGGAAUGCGUGGUGGAGCGGUGAAAUGCAUAGAUAUCACGCAGAACCCCGAUUGCGAAGGCAGCAUGCCGGCUUCCGACUGACGCUGAAGCACGAAAGCGUGGGGAUCGAACAGGAUUAGAUACCCUUGUAGUC
rnacentral:rRNA from 1 species